rnacentral:rRNA from 1 species
GCAAUGGACGAAAGUCUGACCGAGCAACGCCGCGUGAGUGAAGAAGGUUUUCGGAUCGUAAAGCUCUGUUGUAAGUCAAGAACGUGUGUGAGAGUGGAAAGUUCACACAGUGACGGUAGCUUACCAGAAAGGGACGGCUAACUACGUGCCAGCAGCCGCGGUAAUACGUAGGUCCCGAGCGUUGUCCGGAUUUAUUGGGCGUAAAGGGAGCGCAGGCGGUCAGGAAAGUCUGGAGUAAAAGGCUAUGGCUCAACCAUAGUGUGCUCUGGAAACUGUCUGACUUGAGUGCAGAAGGGGAGAGUGGAAUUCCAUGUGUAGCGGUGAAAUGCGUAGAUAUAUGGAGGAACACCAGUGGCGAAAGCGGCUCUCUGGUCUGUCACUGACGCUGAGGCUCGAAAGCGUGGGUAGCGAACAGGAUUAGAUACCCUGGUAGUCCACGCCGUAAACGAUGAGUGCUAGGUGUUAGGCCCUUUCCGGGGCUUAGUGCCGGAGCUAACGCAAUAAGCACUCCGCCUGGGGAGUACGACCGCAAGGUUGAAACUCAAAGGAAUUGACGGGGGCCCGCACAACGGUGGAGCAUGUGGUUUAAUUCGAAGC